rnacentral:rRNA from 1 species
GACAGAGGAUGGCAAGCGUUAUCCGGAAUGAUUGGGCGUAAAGCGUCUGUAGGUGGCUUUUUAAGUCCGCCGUCAAAUCCCAGGGCUCAACCCUGGACAGGCGGUGGAAACUACCAAGCUGGAGUACGGUAGGGGCAGAGGGAAUUUCCGGUGGAGCGGUGAAAUGCUGUAGAGAGUACGGAAAGAACACCAACGGAGAAAGCACUCUGCUGGGCCGACACUGACACUGAGAGACGAAAGCUAGGGGAGCGAAUGGG